rnacentral:misc_RNA from 1 species
GUGUUAGGGAAGGAAAAAAAGCACACCGUGAGCACGAAAGCGCGAGACGUAGCAGCCAAAGGCUUCGUAUUGUAGGCUAAGUGAAAUCUUUGGUUGAACGUAGAGAGAGAGAAUGGAAGCGGAGCCCAUAGGCGUAAGUUGAGUUUAGAUGUGCAUAGGAAGUGCAAAUUCUCAUGCGGAGACUACGGAGGGAUGAUAAAGC